rnacentral:lncRNA from 12 species
GGUUGUGCCCUCCCGGACUGCGAGAGCUCCCCAGACAGGGUAGGACUUCCCCUAGGACACUGGCUUCUGGCAGAUGCUCCACGUCGAGUUCUGCCUCCAGGUUCCAGCUGCCAUGGAGGUACCUGGGACAGGGGCCCCUCCAGCCCCCAGGCCGGCGGUGGAGACGGAUUUGGAACCAGAUUUCCAUUAGUAGUCACUGUCCGUUUGGGCGCCAGCACACUGUGUCUGAGAAGUCCUGAUACAGAAAAAAGCAAGGCCAUCCUUCCCUCACAGUGCAGACAGUAACUAAUGGACCCUCCUUUCCCAGAUGGGAGAAGUGGAGCUGAGAAGACAAAUCUGGCAGGAGCCAGAGGGGCUUCUGCUUCCCUGGUCAGAUGAGAGCAACUGCUCCAUGUCUGGGCGGCCCCUCAGCCUGCAGAGCUCCGGGUCACCAGCUUAACCCGCUUAAUGCACAUCACGCCCGGGCCUACUUGGAGAUGGCUGGAGGCACUUAAAUGGAACGUCCAACCUUUGUCCUCAGCCCCCAAACCAUAGAUGCCACACUCUAUAGCAACUGGAAGAGGACUGGUGCCACAGUGAAGACCACAGGCUGUGGCAGAUUCAUGUCCAUGUGUCAGGUCCCCCCUUCACUGUAUGACCUGGGGGAAGUUCACCUCUCUGUCUCCUUCUCUGUUUAUGAUGAGAUAAUGACCUAAAACACCCAUCCCAUAAGGGCCCUGGGGACUAAGUAAGUUUAUACACGGAAAGCAUUUAGCACAUUGCCCGAAACAGGCAGGUCCUAAAAGGAAUUGGUGAGGAAUAGGAAGUGGCUGUUUCAGUUAUGUUUUUACUCUGAGUUUAUAUAACCACAUUACUGAAGCCUUGGGAAAUAGAAAGAAGGAAAAAAAAUCACCCAUAUUCAUAACUAUUAUCAUUAUGGUAUAUUCCUUGCAGUAUUUUUCCGAUGCCUUUAUUUUGUUCUUCAUGGACAGGAGUGGUUUUCUUUGCAGUGUCCUAUUCUUUUUUGCUUAGUGUUAUACUCAAAUUGUUUAUUCCAUUUACAGCCUUUAUUUUGAUAACUGUACGAUAUUCCAUUAGACAGAUGUGCCACAAUUCACUUCUCUGUUCCUCCACUGGCUGACAUUUAAGUUGUUUUCAGUUUCCCUCUAUUAUAAAUAAUGCUGGGAUUAACAUUUUUGUGCACAUAGUGUUUGUACAUACCUCUCUUUGAACAUUGACCACAGUGGACCUCAAUGACCUAUUUAUAUGGCUAUCUCCCUGAAGAAGACGUGAAGCUUCUAUCCUAUUUUCCAGCUAUAACAGCUGUGGGCAAAAAAAGAAAAAAAAAAAAAAAAGACUUGAGGUUUCUGGAAGGAAGGAGUAGAUUUCCUCUUAAUUGUAUCUCCAACAUGUAGCUCUGUCACUGAGUCUGUUGACUCAAAAACUUUGUCCCCUGUUUUGAAUUUUGGUUUUGCAUAUUUCCCUAGGCUGGAUCUCCAAAACAGAAUUAGUGGGUUAAAACAUAUGUUUUUGGGAGGGAGGUGUAGGUAGAAAAAGGGUUUGAUAAUCAGAGUAUUACCAAAUUGCUUUCCAAAGAGGUUGUACUAAUUAACCCUGCUACCAGGUGACUUCUCACUGUCCAUCAACUUUAUGUUUUUUAUGAACAAAUUAAAGGGAAAAACACUUCUGGAGGCACAAAUAGCUGAAACAUUAUUGAAGAAGAGAAGAACGAGGUGGAAAGGCUUGCUUUACCAGAUUUUUAACACAUAUAAAGCCACAGUAAUUAAGUGUAUGUGGUAUCAAUAUAAGGCCAGACAAAUAGGCCAGUGAAAUAAGACAAAGAGCCCAUAAGCAGACCCAUAUAUACACAUAAAUAUUUGCUUUAUGACAAAGGUUUCCCCACACAACAGUAGGGAAAGUAUCUUUCGCCAAAUGGUGUUGGGAAAAUUAAGUAUCCACAAAAUAGAAUUAGAUCCCGACUCCACACUCUGCACAAAAAGUCAAUUCUGAGUAAAUUAAGACCCAAGUGUGAAUAGUAAAAUAAUAAAACUUUUUAAAAAUCAAGGACA